rnacentral:lncRNA from 1 species
CUCGGUAAAUUUUUUGAUUUAUUGGUUUACUUUGACCCUCUUUUGCAUUAUCCAAUAGGUAUUUUAUCACUAAAUGACACUUCAAAUUCGAUGUUCUAGAUUUACGAUCGUAUAUAUAGUCUUUUUUUUACAUAGCGCACAUUGUACUUUAAUCUUUCCAUCACUAUAAAUAUCAAGUUCUACUACAUUAACAAAAGAAUCCAAAAUAAUAGAAAUUUGUGCUUUUGACCGUUUUAGCAUAGUUGGAGCGCUCUGUUCACAAGAAUCCUACCUAAAAUGAAGUAAACAAAAUUUACUGGAUAUUUGGCAUAACUGUGCAUAAGUAUAAAAGAUAAAAAUGAACAGAGAAACAGAACUCUGAAGAAAAUUACCCUAUCUUUACAUCUUAACUAUAAAAGAUGAAAAUGAACUUCUUAAAUUAAAAUAACAAAGGGUUUGGAUGAAAAUAGCUUCAGACGGAAAAAAAAAAAGUUUUUUCUCGUUAUACCGACAGUGUCAUAUGAAAUGAACAUAAAGAAUGAAUUUUUUAUACAUAUUAAAUCAACCAAAGGCUGCUAACUUCAAAUAAACAUAUAAAAAUGUGCAAAAGUAUGAUUUUUACUUAUUUGGUGAUGAAAUUACAGCAGUAGAAGUAAGCAACCAACAACAUUAUGCUCAAUUUCCUGAAGCAAACUCUAAACUCCAAAUUGAAAAGUGAAGCAAAUGCCAACAAAAAUCUUUAAUUAUUUGAAGUUGAAUUAGAAUAAGAAACGUAAUUGUAAGAAUGAAGGUGUCCAUGCCUCAACACCCGUUCUUUGGCUGCGCUUUGUAAUACAGUUCAUUCAGUCGCCACUAAUAAUGGACCGAUUUGGAUGAAAAUAGCUUCAACUGAUUUGAGUAAUUUGAGAAUUAGGGUAAAC